AUAAUAAUAAUAAUAAUAAUAAUAAUAAUAAUAAUAAUAAUAAUAAUAAUAAUAUUGUAACGACCCAACUCCUUGUACUAAGUCGAAGCCAUUGCUAAUUUAAAAGAUAAAUAAAAUUUGUAAAGUUUGGAAAGAGAAAAAAAAAAAAAGAUAAAACAAAACCUCAAAACUUUCAUUUAAAAGCAUAAACAAAUGUGAUUAGAGAGAAGUAUAAAAAUAAAAUCCUAACUCGGGCCCUAUCUAAUUUUAAAUAAAUAAAAUAAAGAAUCAACUAAAAUGCAAACAUUAAAGUCUGAACUAUGACAUAAAGUGGAAGCAAAAGAUCCCUAUGGCUCGCCACGGUCACUUCUGGUCGCUCGCCAGCUUGCCUUGGCUCUUACCUCUGCCCUAGCCUGAAAAAUAGAAAUGGAAAGAAUGAGUAUAAAAUACUCAGUAAUGGACUCACUACUAGUCCCGCUAGGUGACUGUUAAUUUCCUAUUAGAGUCCUGAAAGUGGUACCCAAGAACUGGCACGUUCCCGAACACGUGCAACAUGUGAUCCCGGAGGAACAUAAUUGGUCUUCGGUGAUCCCAAAGGAACGCCUAGGACAAUCUGGUCUGUAGCGUACCCGGAGGAACACUAAGACAAUCGGGCUGCGAGCGAUCCCGUCGAACCACUCGAAUCAUGUCUAUGUCAAUGCCAGACUGGCGGUCCCGUCGGACUGCGCAGUCCUAAAAAGGUGGUGAUCUCGAAGGACACCCAUGCAGGUGAACAAGACCAAAAACAGGCUGGCGGCUCAAAGACAGGUGAAGCGGCUAGGCGGCUCGGCUAGGCGGCUCGGCUAGAAAGCAGAAGGCGACUCUGAUAGGCGGCUCAUGCAUGCAGGAUGGCUUAGGCAGGCGGCUCACGCGUGCAGGACGGCUCGGCUACGGAGCAGGCGCAGGUAUGCAGGUCGGGUCAGCUUCACGCGGCUAUGGAGGCACGGACGUGUGGGUUGCUGGCGGCGGGUGCGGCUCAGUUUUUCGGGUUUAGGUAUGAGCAACGAUUGAAGCGGCUGGGGCUUGACAGUGACCUGCGCGACCGACGAAUUGUCUUGCGGCGGUGAGCCACGGGCUGUGACGGAAAGCAGUCGAUCGGCGACGGCUUUCAGACAGAGGAGAUCAGACGGAGAUGGUUCGAGUUGCCGAGGACGGCGCGCGACUUGCGAUCCACUUCCGUCAGCGAUCGAACGAGCACGGCGGCGGUUGCAAAGAGGCUAGGGUUUGGGUUCAAGAAAAUUAGAGUUUUUCUUUUCUUUCUCAAUGAAGAAGAUGAUGGUUUAAUGGUGCACGGAUCCUAGUGACCUUUUUUUUAAACACAAAUAAAUAACCAAUAUUAUUUUUCUCUUUA